rnacentral:rRNA from 1 species
AACGAACGCUGGCGGCAUGCCUAACACAUGCAAGUCGAACGAGACCUUCGGGUCUAGUGGCGCACGGGUGCGUAACGCGUGGGAACCUGCCCUUAGGUUCGGAAUAACUCCCCGAAAGGGGUGCUAAUACCACAUAAUGUCUUCGGACCAAAGAUUUAUCGCCUUUGGAUGGGCCCGCGUUGGAUUAGCUAGUUGGUAGGGUAAAAGCCUACCAAGGCGACGAUCCAUAGCUGGUCUGAGAGGAUGAUCAGCCACACUGGGACUGAGACACGGCCCAGACUCCUACGGGAGGCAGCAGUGGGGAAUAUUGGACAAUGGGCGAAAGCCUGAUCCAGCAAGGCCGCGUGAGUGAUGAAGGCCUUAGGGUUGUAAAGCUCUUUUACCCGGGAUGAUAAUGACAGUACCGGGAGAAUAAGCGCCGGCUAACUCCGUG